CUUACGACCAGGGCUACACACGUGCUACAAUGGCGCAUACAAAGAGAAGCGACCUCGCGAGAGCAAGCGGACCUCAUAAAGUGCGUCGUAGUCCGGAUUGGAGUCUGCAACUCGACUCCAUGAAGUCGGAAUCGCUAGUAAUCGUGGAUCAGAAUGCCACGGUGAAUACGUUCCCGGGCCUUGUACACACCGCCCGUCACACCAUGGGAGUGGGUUGCAAAAGAAGUAGGUAGCUUAACCUUCGGGAGGGCGCUUACCACUUUGUGAUUCAUGACUGGGGUGAAGUCGUAACAAGGUAACCGUAGGGGAACCUGCGGUUGGA
rnacentral:rRNA from 3 species